rfam:Gossypium arboreum cultivar AKA8401 contig_41600_5, whole genome shotgun sequence.
UAUUAAAAGUUUCAUCUAUUUGUACUGUUAAAAACUAGUAUGGCUGAUGUAACCAAUCAGUGACAUGUACAUCACAUGUACCUCAUGUUGACAUUAAGUAGCCAAUUUUUAACUGUAGAAAUAAAUGGAAUUUUUAACA